rnacentral:rRNA from 1 species
CGAACGAGAAAGCGGGGGCAACCUCGUGAGUAAAGUGGCGUACGGGUGAGUAACACGUGGAUCAUCUACCUCUUUGUGGGGGAUAACCCUGGGAAACCGGAGCUAAUACCGCAUAAGUCCGAGAGGAGAAAGCAGCAAUGCGCAGAGAGAGGAGUCCGCGGCCGAUUAGCUAGUUGGUAGGGUAAGAGCCUACCAAGGCAACGAUCGGUAGCCGGCCUGAGAGGGCACACGGCCACACUGGCACUGAAACACGGGCCAGACUCCUACGGGAGGCAGCAGUGGGGAAUCUUGCACAAUGGGGGAAACCCUGAUGCAGCGACGCCGCGUGAGCGAUGAAGCCCUUCGGGGUGUAAAGCUCUUUCGGCAGGGAAGAUGGUGACGGUACCUGCAGAAGCAGCUGCGGCUAACUACGUGCCAGCAGCCGCGGUAAUACGUAGGCAGCAAGCGUUGUUCGGAGUUACUGGGCGUAAAGGGUGUGUAGGCGGUCUUCUAAGUCUGGUGUGAAAUCUCCCGGCUCAACUGGGAGGGUGCGCCGAAAACUGGAAGGCUAGAGUGCGGGAUGGGAGAGUGGAAUUCCUGGUGUAGCGGUUAAAUGCGUAGAUAUCAGGAGGAACACCUGUGGUGUAGACGGCUCUCUGGACCGCAACUGACGCUGAAACACGAAAGCGUGGG